UAUUCUAUAAGAACAGAACUUGCAGUCGGCAGAAGAACAAGGAAAAGAAAAGGAACUGAAAGGAAAUGAAGGGAAAGUUUUCUCUUCUCCUUAGAAUGGGAAACUGCGUUUAAAGCUCUCUCUAUCGAUAGCAUGCCACAGCUCACGCACGCAUUACGUGCAUGAGCCUGACACUCUUAUCAAUCUACACACUCCAAUCCCUUUCCAUACUUAUCAUAAAUCCACUUCGAUACUUCCAAAUUAAGUCAAAAAAUCUCAUUGUUCUAAGCCUUCGUUUACCUUUUGCUUUUGGGUAUCAUCUCCGAUCUAUCUAAUCAUUCUCUCUAUUAAUCUCUUUCGAUCGGUGUUGGUGUUGGUGGUGGUUGUAGUGUGGUGAUUUUUGGGGGAUGGCGAUUCCUGCGGCAGUUGUCAUCGUGCCAGUGGGACUUCUCUUCUUCUCUUCUGGCCUUAUUAUUAAUCUCAUUCAGGCUAUCUGCUAUGUCCUUAUUCGGCCAUUGUCGAAAAACACAUACAGAACGAUCAAUAGAGCUUUGGCAGAGUUGUUGUGGCUGGAGCUUGUGUGGGUUUUUGAUUGGUGGGCGGGAGUGAAGGUCCAAUUAUUUACAGAUCAGGAGACCUUCUGUUUAUUGGGCAAAGAACAUGCACUUCUCAUAUCCAACCACAAAAGUGACAUUGAUUGGCUUGUUGGAUGGGUUUUGGCUCAGCGGGCAGGAUGCCUUGGCAGUGCGUUAGCUGUUAUGAAGAAAUCAUCAAAAGUCCUUCCGGUCAUAGGCUGGUCCAUGUGGUUUUCUGAAUACCUCUUUCUGGAAAGAAGUUGGGCCAAAGAUGAAAGCACUUUAAAGUUAGGUCUCCAACGGCUAAAAGACUUCCCUCGACCCUUUUGGUUGGCUCUUUUUGUUGAGGGAACACGUUUUACACAGUCAAAGCUUUUAGCAGCUCAGGAAUAUGCAGCCUCAGCAGGGCUGCCUAUUCCUAGGAAUACUUUGAUUCCUCGUACUAAGGGUUUUGUUUCAGCAGUGAGUAAUAUGCGCUCAUUUGUUCCUGCUAUUUAUGAUGUAACAGUAGCCAUCCCCAAAAGUUCCCCUCAACCUACAAUGCUCAGGAUCUUUAAGGGUCAAUCCUCAGUGGUGCAUGUACACUUAAAACGGCAUUUGAUGAAGGAUCUACCUGAAACAGAUGAUGCUGUUGCACAAUGGUGUAGGGAUAUAUUUGUUGCGAAGGAUGCAUUAUUGGACAAGCAUAUAGCGAAGGACACGUUCAGUGACCAAGAAUUGCAAGAUAUUGGCCGACCUAUUAAACCUCUUGUGGUUGUUACGUCCUGGGCAUGCUUGCUUGUUUUUGGGGUCUUGAAGUUCCUCCAAUGGUCUUCACUUUUAUCAUCAUGGAAGGGUAUUGCAAUAUCAUCAUCUGCACUGGCCAUUAUUACUAUCCUUAUGCAGAUAUUGAUACGCUUUACUCAGUCAGAGCGUUCGACCCCUGCCAAGGUUGUCCCAGCAAAGCCCAAGAAAGGAGACCCAUCAGAAACAGGACAAGACAAACAACACUAAGUCCCAUCCUGUUAGUUAAAUCUCACAUAUAUCAAUAACUUCAUCAAAAGUCAUUUUUGUGAAGUGUUAUUCAUAUUGAAGUUGGGAGGGCAAGGCUCCGGCAGGGUACUAAAAGGGUUCCUAUAGUUUCUAUUCCCAGAGAUACUCUUGUUGGUAUUCAACAACUCAUUAAUAGGCACUAUCAGGCGUUUGUGGAACAAAAAUUUGAAGAGCAAAUUUCAGGGAACCAUAAGGAUGUUUCUCUUCCUGAGAAUGUUUUGAUUAAAGGAGGAAACAUGGUUUGAAGAAGAAGAAAAGUAAUGGGAUCUUGGUGGUAUUUUAUUUGAGCUGAGAUAAUGUAAUCAUAUGAAAUUCAAAGAGAAUGAGUUUGAAAUCAAGAGAAGACAAAGAAAGAAAAUGUGUGUUUUGAGAUACUGCAAUCAUUUACUACUCAAGAGAAUUGAGUUUGAAAUAAGGAGAAGGCAGAGGAAGAAAAUAAGGCUUUGUUGUAGUUGUUUGUUUACCAAAGGAGACUUAGGUUUUAGCAUGCAAGAUAUUAGUUUUGAGCAUCAAAAUUUAUUACAGGUCCUAGUAGUAGCAUGCGGUCUAUAAUUGCAAUAUGGUUUUAUUGAUUGUUGUUCCUUUCUCCAUUCUUGACGAUAAGAAUGACUUCAAGAAGUGAAGAAUGUUAUGACUGAGGAGAAUAAGGGUGUCAAAAAUAAAUAGAGCGUCUUUGGGGUUGAAAUUGUAAUAAGUGAAUAUUACAGAAAGUUGGUAGAGUUAGCUAGGAAUAAGUUAGAGAAUGGCGGGAACAGUGACUAGAUAGAUUUUAGAUGUAUAAAUAACAACUAUUGUAACUAAAGAAAUCUAUUCCAGAAUAUUAUCAAUGAAAUCCUCAUUCUUUUCUUCCUAAAUUC